rnacentral:rRNA from 1 species
GGUUAAGCGAACAAGCGUACACGGUGGAUGCCCUGGCAGUCAGAGGCGAUGAAGGACGUGCUAAUCUGCGAAAAGCGCCGGUAAGGUGAUAUGAACCGUUAUAACCGGCGAUGUCCGAAUGGGGAAACCCGGUGCACUUCGGUGCAUCAUCGUUAGCUGAAUACAUAGGCUAACGAGGCGAACCGGGGGAACUGAAACAUCUAAGUACCCCGAGGAAAAGAAAUCAACCGAGAUUCCCCCAGUAGCGGCGAGCGAACGGGGAACAGCCCAGAGCCUGAAUCAGCUUGUGUGUCAGUGGAACGGUCUGGAAAGGCCGGCGAUACAGGGUGACAGCCCCGUACACGAAGGCACACAGGCUGUGAGCUCGAUGAGUAGGGCGGGACACGUGAUAUCCUGUCUGAAGAUGGGGGGACCAUCCUCCAAGGCUAAAUACUCCUGACUGACCGAUAGUGAACCAGUACCGUGAGGGAAAGGCGAAAAGAACCCCGGCGAGGGGAGUGAAACAGAACCUGAAACCGUGUACGUACAAGCAGUGGGAGCCUUCGUAAGAGGGUGACUGCGUACCUUUUGUAUAAUGGGUCAGCGACUUAUAUUCUGUAGCAAGGUUAACCGUAUAGGGGAGCCGAAGGGAAACCGAGUCUUAACCGGGCGUUAAGUUGCAGGGUAUAGAC